AUUGAACGCUGGCGGCAGGCCUAACACAUGCAAGUCGAGCGGUAGCACAGAGAGCUUGCUCUCGGGUGACGAGCGGCGGACGGGUGAGUAAUGUCUGGGAAACUGCCUGAUGGAGGGGGAUAACUACUGGAAACGGUAGCUAAUACCGCAUAAUGUCGCAAGACCAAAGUGGGGGACCUUCGGGCCUCAUGCCACCAGAUGUGCCCAGAUGGGAUUAGCGAGUAGGUGGGGUAACGGCUCACCUAGGCGACGAUCCCUAGCUGGGCGGAGAGGAUGACAAGCCACACGGGAACUGGGACACGGUCCAGACUCCUACGGGAGGCAGCAGUGGGGAAUAUUGCACAAUGGGCGCAAGCCUGAUGCAGCCAUGCCGCGUGUGUGAAGAAGGCCUUCGGGUUGUAAAGCACUUUCAGCGGGGAGGAAGGCGGUGAGGUUAAUAACCUCAUCGAUUGACGUUACCCGCAGAAGAAGCACCGGCUAACUCCGUGCCAGCCGCCGCCGUAA
rnacentral:rRNA from 1 species